AACGAACGCUGGCGGCAUGCCUAACACAUGCAAGUCGAACGAGACCUUCGGGUGUAGUGGCGCACGGGUGUGUAACGCGUGGGAACCUGCCCGUAGGUUCCGAAUAACUCCCUGAAAGGGGUGCUAAGACCGGAGAAUGUCUUCGCACCAAAGAUUUAUCGCCGGUGGAUGGGACCGCGUUGGGUUAGCUAGUUGGUAGGGUAAAAGCCUACUAAGGUUAGGUUCCAGAGCUGGUCUGAGAGGAUGAUCAGCCACACUUGAACUGAGACACGGCCCAGCCUGCUACGGGCGGGGGCAGUGGAGAAUAUUGCCCACCGGGCCAACGCCUGAUGGAGCAGUGCCGCGUGAGUGGUGACGGCAUUCGGGUUGUAAAGCUCUUUUACCCGGGCUGGUACUGACCGUACCGGGAGAAUACGCUCCGGCUAACUCCGUG
rnacentral:rRNA from 1 species